CCGAAGACGAACGCGCGCCAUAUUUGUUUUUACUUUGUCGCGGUUUGCAAUCGCUUUGAAUUUGUUAAUUUUUUCAUAAUCCCGGAACAACGUACUGCCAUGGGAUUCCGGAAGCCAUAUGGGAAAGAUCGUCGAAAAUCAGCUGGUUUUUUUUUGUCACGAAAAAACAUUCACGCUUGCUGUCAUGAAAUUCCGUUAUCGGUUAUCGGUUGCAGUCAUUCGACCAGAAUAUUUCUUAUAAUCUCAGAACCGCUCUUUCUAUGACACUUUACCGAGGACACCCAAUCUACGGAGACUACGGAGGUCAACGACGGCCAGUGAGUGAUGGAGGAAACAACUCGAUAGUUCACUAUAGGAACGGUGCUGGUGCUUACCGGGAAGAGCUGGAAUCAACGACGUAUUAUGUGAUUCGGGUGAUCAAGCGAUGACAGGUUCCAAUGAGCAAAAUCUCUGCUAAAACAAGCUCUGAUCAAUAUGACGGGCGACCUCAUCCUGUGUUCCGGAUUUUCAAUCGUUUAAUGGACUAAAGGGUGUAUUUGCCAACAUCGCUUUUAACAAUCGAGGCGACGCUCACCACCACACUUCACCAAUGUCUAGGAUGAUCCGGACCGGACAUGGUUUUGAAAAUUGUUCACACAUCGCUGCAGCAGACACAAGCUUUCAGGCGUAGUUUCAGACUACCACCAGAUGGAUGCAACACGUGUUUGAUGUCGUCCAAGAACACCUACGUCCGCGCCGCACGGUGAUGUUAUUUCCACGGUGGUGAUUCAUCUCAAAUAAGCCUGGUAGUUUCGAUUGAGCAGCCUCACCUUUCGUCAUGUCAUUUCACAGAAUCGGAAGAUCAUAUUCAAGGCGACAUGCUACCCCUGAGUGAUAUUUCCAUCACCCAUUACGCUGCGGAUGGCCCGAGCAGGACAACGAAUCAUUACUCUAUAUAGGUCUCCAAUAGGCGAACAAUACUAACGAUGCGAGAAAAAUGUUAACCGACAGCGAAAUCAAUCAUUCAAUAUGUUGAAUUUCGCUAUGCCGUUUCAGCUGUAUAAAAAAAUAACCCGGUCUGUCGGCAUAAAAAUAAUUUUCUCUAUAGAAAUUGUAUGCAAAAGAAAAAAAAAUGUGAACUAUAAAAUUGUAUUUUUAGAUGCAAAUUCAAUAAAGAAU